UAGUUGGUAAGGUAACGGCUUACCAAGGCGACGAUCAGUAGCCGACCUGAGAGGGUGAUCGGCCACAUUGGAACUGAGACACGGUCCAAACUCCUACGGGAGGCAGCAGUGGGGACUAUUUCACAAUGGGCGAAAGCCUGAUGCAGCAACGCCGCGUGAGUGAUGAAGGCCUUCGGGUCGUAAAACUCUGUCCUCAAGGAAGAUAAUGACGGUACUUGAGGAGGAAGCCCCGGCUAACUACGUGCGCAGGGUAAUACGUAGGGGGCUAGCGUUAUCCGGAUUUACU
rnacentral:rRNA from 1 species